UACGGGGGGGGCAAGCGUUGUUCGGAAUUACUGGGCGUAAAGGGCUCGUAGGCGGCCAACUAAGUCAGACGUGAAAUCCCCAGGCUCAACCUGGGAACUGCGUCUGAUACUGGAUGGCUUGAAUCCGGGAGAGGGAUGCAGAAUUCCAGGUGUAGCGGUGAAAUGCGUAGAUAUCUGGAGGAAUACCGGUGGCGAAGGCGGCAUUCUGGACCGGCAUUGACGCUGAGGAGCGAAAGCCAGGGGAGCAAACGGG
rnacentral:rRNA from 1 species